GAUGAACGCUGGCGGCGUGCCUAAUACAUGCAAGUCGAGCGAACAGACGAGGAGCUUGCUCCUCUGACGUUAGCGGCGGACGGGUGAGUAACACGUGGAUAACCUACCUAUAAGACUGGGAUAACUUCGGGAAACCGGAGCUAAUACCGGAUAAUAUAUUUAACCGCAUGGUUCAAUAGUGAAAGACGGUUUUGCUGUCACUUAUAGAUGGAUCCGCGCCGCAUUAGCUAGUUGGUAAGGUAACGGCUUUCCAAGGCAACGAUGCGUAGCCGACCUGAGAGGGUGAUCGGCCACACUGGAACUGAGACACGGUCCAGACUCCUACGGGAGGCAGCAGUAGGGAAUCUUCCGCAAUGGGCGAAAGCCUGACGGAGCAACGCCGCGUGAGUGAUGAAGGUCUUCGGAUCGUAAAACUCUGUUAUUAGGGAAGAACAAAUGUGUAAGUAACUAUGCACGUCUUGACGGUACCUAAUCAGAAAGCCACGGCUAACUACGUG
rnacentral:rRNA from 1 species